GCUCAUCGCAGGAUUUUGCAACAUGAAUAUCAUUACCAAACUCUACAGAAGAGAGUAAUUACAAAGCUCAUACAAGGAGCAGAAUAACAAAUAUUACAAAGAGAGGACACAUGUCCCAACAUUACAUCAUUACAUCAGCGGAAGUCGAAUUAUGACCGAGUACGGACAAGAUUACAGCAUGGCCUGAAGAGGCUGGAAGCUGGAAGGAACCCCGCCACGAGUCUCAGAACCCUG
rnacentral:lncRNA from 1 species